rnacentral:rRNA from 2 species
CACCUCCAGCAUUCCCAGUAUUGGAGGCAUUGCCUGCCCAGUGACAACUGUUUAACGGCCGCGGUAUCCUGACCGUGCAAAGGUAGCAUAAUCAUUUGUUCUCUAAAUAAGGACUUGUAUGAAUGGCCGCACGAGGGUUUUACUGUCUCUUACUUCCAAUCAGUGAAAUUGACCUUCCCGUGAAGAGGCGGGAAUGCACAAAUAAGACGAGAAGACCCUAUGGAGCUUUAACUAACCAACCCAAAGAGAAUAGAUUUAACCAUUAAGGAAUAACAACAAUCUCCAUGAGUUGGUAGUUUCGGUUGGGGUGACCUCGGAGAAUAAAAAAUCCUCCGAGCGAUUUUAAAGACUAGACCCACAAGUCAAAUCACUCUAUCGCUCAUUGAUCCAAAAACUUGAUCAACGGAACAAGUUACCCUAGGGAUAACAGCGCAAUCCUAUUCAAGAGUCCAUAUCGACAAUAGGGUUUACGACCUCGAUGUUGGAUCAGGACAUCCUGAUGGUGCAACCGCUAUCAAAGGUUCGUUUGUUCAACGAUUAAAGUCCU